UUGUCUGCUGAGCUAGCUCGAUCGUGAUGAGAAUGGAUGCACGAAACAAUUAUAUAUUCAGUCAUUCUUUGAUCUAUGAACCUGGCCGCCUGUAUAUAUAUGCUUAUUAGAGAUUAGAUAUUUUAUUUUAAUUUUGCUUUUUCCCGCUCAUUCUUUCGUUGUAUAUAAAUAGACACAUGUGAUAUUUUUCCUAAGUUCAGAUAAUACAAGAAAGAUAUUUUCUUCAUUCUUGAUAUGGUAUGAUCAGUAGUUUUCUUCUCUGCGCGCUAACCAUAUAUGGCUUCAUCUUCUCUUUUUUCUGAUCCUCAUCUUCCCCAUGAGGAUGCAUCAAGUCCUUCCUAUCUUCAUUAUAGUGACAGUCCAGGCACUUUACUGAUCACUCAAGUUUUCACCGGUGAUAAUUACCACACUUGGCGUCGUUCCAUGUUGAUGGCACAGAACGUGCUUGACAACAAUGCACAGAACGUGCUUGACAAAAUACCAGAAAGAAAUGAAACGUUCUUUCUGUGUAUUCAGUAUUUGAAGUUUCCUUACAACAACAGUGCUUUAAGGCAGAGCUUUUAUAGACUGUAUUACACAACAGAAUCACGACAAACUUAUUACAGAUUGAAUCUCCAUCGUACACCUCAUCACAUUCUGUUAUGCUUGAGUAUUCUAGAGCAUUCUAUGGGAAAAGUUUUCCUAUUUCCGUAAGGAGGCAGGUCUGCAUGGAUGUGUUGCGCUGACAGGUUCUUUUUGUAAUUCUGAUGAAACUGUAGCCUUAAUACUUGUUCAUGAGGAGGAUUGCGUUCAUUGCUUGAUUUACAGUAACAAGAAUAUGUCAUGCAUUUUCUGAUGGGGCUCAAUGAUUCUUAUUUGUGCAUUCGAGGUCAGAUUUUACUUCUUGAACCUCUUCCCCCAAUUAACAUGGUUUUUUCCCUUGUUCUUAAGGAAGAGAUACAGCGGGAGAUUUAUUAUGUUUUGCUUCCUUCCAUUCAAUCUGCUGCUUUAUCUUCAAAUUCCCCUACUAAGUCUUCUACUGGACAAAAGAAUUUUACAUGGAAAAAAAGGCAUGUUUGCUCCCACUUGUGGAAUACAAGGACAUACUGUUGAGAAGUGCUUCAAAAUUCAUGGAUAUUCACCUAGAUAUCGCUCCAAAGCAAGGUCCUUUCACCUUCUGCCAAUCAAGUUACUUCCACUGACAGCCUUCCAAUAUCCUAGUCACAGUGCCAACAAUUACUAGUCCUCCUUAGUUCAGAAACCUCUCAGUCUACAUCCAAAGCAGCCAAAGUAACUUCCUCAUCUUCUCUUGAACAUUUAUCAGGACCUCACAAAUUAGAGGAUGAUUGGGAAAGGACAUGCUAAUGAAGAUUUAUACUUGCUGCAAACAUCAACCAGACCAUGGUCUUCACUUUAGAGAUUUGUCUUUUGUAUUUGCUGUUUCUAUUACUUUUCCUAAUAAUGCUCUUGAUACUUGGCACAAAAGGUUGGGCCAUCCCUCCUUUUCUUGCAUGAAAUUUUUAUCUCAGUUUGCUUCACUUGUUUCUAAUAAUGUUUAAGAAC